rnacentral:rRNA from 1 species
CCAGACUCCUACGGGAGGCAGCAGUGAGGAAUAUUGGUCAAUGGAUGAGAGUCUGAACCAGCCAAGUAGCGUGAAGGAUGACUGCCCUAUGGGUUGUAAACCUCUUUUGUCAGGGAGCAACGCCGGCUACGUGUAGCCGGACUGAGAGUACCUGAAGAAAAAGCAUCGGCUAACUCCGUGCCAGCAGCCGCGGUAAUACGGAGGAUGCGAGCGUUAUCCGGAUUUAUUGGGUUUAAAGGGUGCGUAGGCGGAAUGCCAAGUCAGCGGUAAAAUCGCGGGGCUCAACCUCGCUCCGCCGUUGAAACUGGCGUUCUUGAGUGGGCGAGAAGUAUGCGGAAUGCGCGGUGUAGCGGUGAAAUGCAUAGAUAUCACGCAGAACUCCGAUUGCGAAGGCAGCAUACCGGCGCCCGACUGACGCUGAGGCACGAAAGCGUGGGGAUCGAACAGGAUUAGAUACCCCCGUACC